CCUACGGGAGGCAGCAGUGGGGAAUUUUGGACAAUGGGCGCAAGCCUGAUCCAGCAAUGCCGCGUGAGUGAAGAAGGCCUUCGGGUUGUAAAGCUCUUUUGUCAGGGAAGAAACGGUGGGAGCUAAUAUCUCCUGCUAAUGACGGUACCUGAAGAAUAAGCACCGGCUAACUACGUGCCAGCAGCCGCGGUAAUACGUAGGGUGCAAGCGUUAAUCGGAAUUACUGGGCGUAAAGCGUGCGCAGGCGGUUUUGUAAGACUGUCGUGAAAUCCCCGGGCUCAACCUGGGAAUGGCGAUGGUGACUGCAAGGCUAGAGUUUGGCAGAGGGGGGUAGAAUUCCACGUGUAGCAGUGAAAUGCGUAGAUAUGUGGAGGAACACCGAUGGCGAAGGCAGCCCCCUGGGUCAAAACUGACGCUCAUGCACGAAAGCGUGGGGAGCAAACAGGAUUAGAUACCCUGGUAGUCCACGCCCUAAACGAUGUCUACUAGUUGUCGGGUCUUAAAUUGACUUGGUAACGCAGCUAACGCGUGAGUAGACGCCGCGGGAGGUACGGUCGCGAGAAGUUAAACGUAACAAAGUAGUAAGUUAGUACGGCGUGAGACGUAGACCGACGGACGACGACGAGGGGAGGAGG
rnacentral:rRNA from 1 species